GAGCCUGGCUGCACCUCUGCUAGGCCCAUUUAAGAGCUGACUGCCAGUGGGGAAGGGCCUCUUCUGGAAAUUCCUUCUGUGGAGUUUUGCAGUGAGCCCAGGACAUGGGCAUCUGAUGCUACUUCUUGGGAAAGAUGAUAUUGGACAAAUCCAUGAUUAGAGCCUUUGUAAUGUAAACCAUCCCUACUGCGUUGGAAUUGAUUACACACAUUUGGUGAAAGAUGAUUUGAAUGGGGGACUUUAUCCUGAUAUACUAACAAAAUACAGAAAACCACCACAUAUGGAUUUCCUGGACACUAGACAGGAAUGACUGACUGUAGCAUGAAGGCCCAUAUGAAAGAGCAAUGCUACACUCUAAUGUUAAUUGUUUGUCUGCAUGCUGCGUUGAUGGUGAAAUAAAUGAAGGUAUAUGAUGAAAAUAAUUUUAGU